CCACUGCAGAUUCUGAGCCCAGGGAAUCGGGGCUGGAGAAAUCCCACAUCGGCAGCUGUCAGCAGGACUGAUUGGGUGGGUGACCCUUUCUGUCCACAGCAAUUCUCCUAUAUUUGAAGAACGUAACUUCAGAGCUGAAUGAAAAAGCGUACUUACCCCAAUAACUUUACUGGAAGUGGGCAGCACUGAUGAAAUAGUCACAUGAACUUCCCUUAGCCCCAUUUAUUAAGCGCCUGCAUGUGUAAAUUCCGAGCACUAAGAAAAUAGCUAAAACUGAGCUGAAAGCAGCCCUUCAAACUGAGAAACUGUUCUUCAUCACUAAAGCCUUCGUUUUUAGAUGAAGCCUGAAGCUAUCUCAGUGAGAGCUUGAGCCAGAACGAAGGUGAUUUAUCUGAGUGAGAGAGUACCGUGGAGGGUUUCACACCCAUACCGCCUGCAUGUGUUUCUCCAUCACAUUUUUAUUGGAAGGACUAUCAUAGUACCCUGAGCAUAGCUUCUUUGAGAAGUGCUGCUUUUUCUCAUGAAACACACUAUAAACAAAAAAGAGAUUCAAAUGAGCAUUUAGGACAAGUGCCAGAAAAGAUUCUGGAUCCCAUCCAGAGUGCCUCCAAAAGACUAGCUAAUUCCGGGCAGGAGGAAAAGGGAGAAAGAAGGACGGUGUUUCAAACAGGAAACAAAGGGUGGACAAGAGGGAUGAGAAGUCCAAAGGAGGAAGGAGACAGAGAACCUCUAUCACAGGUGAGACAAAAGUGAAGAAGGGCCUUUGUAGCUGGGCUAUCGUCCAGCAUGGAACAUCCUCCAUUCUCCCAUGAGGCCCCUCUCCUG
rnacentral:lncRNA from 1 species